rnacentral:rRNA from 1 species
CUAUGUUACGACUUAUCUUACUUUAAUAAUAAGAGCGACGGGCGAUAUGUACAUAUUUUAGAGCUAAAGUCAAAUUUUUAAUCUUUAAAAUUUUACUACCAAAUCCACUUUCAUUAAAUAUUACAAAUUUAAAUCCAUUUAAAUAAAUUUAUUGUAACCCAUUUUUACUUAAAUAUAAGCUACACCUUGAUCUGAUAUAAAUUUAAUUAAAAAUUCAAGAAAAUUAUUUUUCUAAAAAAAUAUUCUAACAACGACGAUAUAUAAACUGAAAUACAAAUUUAAGUAAGGUUCAUCGUGGAUUAUCAAUUAUAAAACAGGUUCCUCUGAAUAGACUAAAAUACCGCCAAAUUUUUUAAGUUUCAAGAACAUAACUAUUACUACUUUAGUGUCUUUAAUUACAUUUAUUAUAAUAGGGUAUCUAAUCCUAGUUUA